CCUACGGGUGGCAGCAGUGAGGAAUAUUGGUCAAUGGACGAGAGUCUGAACCAGCCAAGUAGCGUGAAGGAUGACUGCCCUAUGGGUUGUAAACUUCUUUUAUAUGGGAAUAAAAUGUUCCACGUGUGGGCGUUUGUAUGUACCAUAUGAAUAAGGAUCGGCUAACUCCGUGCCAGCAGCCGCGGUAAUACGGAGGAUCCGAGCGUUAUCCGGAUUUAUUGGGUUUAAAGGGAGCGUAGGUGGCUUGUUAAGUCAGGUGUGAAAGGUUGCGGCUCAACCGUAAGAGUGCCGUUGAAACUGGCAGGCUUGAGUACAGUAGAGGUGGGCGGAAUGCGUGGUGUAGCGGUGAAAUGCUUAGAUAUCACGAAGAACUCCGAUUGCGAAGGCAGCUCACUGGACUGCAACUGACACUGAGGCACGAAAGUGUGGGUAUCGAACAGGAUUAGAUACCCCUGUAGUC
rnacentral:rRNA from 1 species